rnacentral:rRNA from 1 species
AUUCCAGCUCCAAUAGCGUAUAUUAAAGUUGUUGCGGUAAAAAAGCUCGUAGUUGGAUUUCUACCGAAGAUAGCCGGUCGGGUCCUCGACCUUGUAUCUGGUUUUGUCUUUGGUACCCUCAUGGGGAACGUUGCUGCGCUUCACUGCGUGGUGCGGUAUCCAUGACUUUUACUUUGAGGAAAUCAGAGUGUUCACGGCAGGCAAACGCCCUGAAUAUAUUAGCAUGGAAUAAUAACAUAGGAUCUUCGUCCUAUUUUGUUGGUUUCUAGGGCUUAGAUAAUGAUUAAUAGGGAUAAUUGGGGGCAUCUGUAUCAACGCGUCAGAGGUGGAAUUCUUGGAUUGCGUUGCGUCAAACUACUGCGAAAGCAUUUGCCAAGGAUGUUUUCAUUG